rnacentral:rRNA from 1 species
AUUGAACGCUGGCGGCAUGCCUUACACAUGCAAGUCGAACGGCAGCACGGGUGCUUGCACCUGGUGGCGAGUGGCGAACGGGUGAGUAAUACAUCGGAACAUGUCCUGUAGCGGGGGAUAGCCCGGCGAAAGCCGGAUUAAUACCGCAUACGAUCUACGGAUGAAAGCGGGGGACCUUCGGGCCUCGCGCUAUAGGGUUGGCCGAUGGCUGAUUAGCUAGUUGGUGGGGUAAAGGCCUACCAAGGCGACGAUCAGUAGCUGGUCUGAGAGGACGACCAGCCACACUGGGACUGAGACACGGCCCAGACUCCUACGGGAGGCAGCAGUGGGGAAUUUUGGACAAUGGGCGAAAGCCUGAUCCAGCAAUGCCGCGUGUGUGAAGAAGGCCUUCGGGUUGUAAAGCACUUUUGUCCGGAAAGAAAUCCUUGGCCCUAAUACGGUCGGGGGAUGACGGUACUGGAAGAAUAAGCACCGGCUAACUACGUG